rnacentral:lncRNA from 1 species
GCUGUAUUGAUGGCCACAAUUCUGCUCCACUCCCUGCGGCGGACCCUGCGCAUCUUCAUUACUCCCUGACAGGCUGUAUUGAUGGCCACGAUUCUGCUCCACUCCCUGCGGCGGACCCUGCGCAUCUUCAUUACUCCUGACAGGCUGUAUUGAUGGCCACGAUUCUGCUCCACUCCCUACGUUGGAUCCUGUGCGAUUCCACCACUCCCUGACGAGUCACGACAGUGGAUGCCGCUCCACUCCCUAUAACUGACUCCACGUGGCGAGCCACAGUGAUAGCCACGAGCCCACUCCAUUACCCUCUGUAGUAAAUCCCUCCUGACUCUGGGCGGCCCA